AGACAGGUUUCUUUCGAAACCAUAAUUUCUUUUAUACACCUCAUAG
rfam:Nicotiana sylvestris Nsyl_contig183883, whole genome shotgun sequence.